rnacentral:tRNA from 1 species
GGGAAUUAGCUCAGCUGGUAGAGCACUUGGUUCGCAAUCAAGGGGUCGACGGUUCGAAUCCGUUAUUCUCC